AGAGUUUGAUCCUGGCUCAGGAUGAACGCUAGCGACAGGCUUAACACAUGCAAGUCGAGGGGCAGCACAGGUAGCAAUACCGGGUGGCGACCGGCGCACGGGUGAGUAACGCGUAUGCAACUUGCCUAUCAGAGGGGGAUAACCCGGCGAAAGUCGGACUAAUACCGCAUGAAGCAGGGAUCCCGCAUGGGAAUAUUUGCUAAAGAUUCAUCGCUGAUAGAUAGGCAUGCGUUCCAUUAGGCAGUUGGCGGGGUAACGGCCCACCAAACCGACGAUGGAUAGGGGUUCUGAGAGGAAGGUCCCCCACAUUGGUACUGAGACACGGACCAAACUCCUACGGGAGGCAGCAGUGAGGAAUAUUGGUCAAUGGCCGAGAGGCUGAACCAGCCAAGUCGCGUGAGGGAUGAAGGUUCUAUGGAUCGUAAACCUCUUUUAUAAGGGAAUAAAGUGCGGGACGUGUCCCGUUUUGUAUGUACCUUAUGAAUAAGGAUCGGCUAACUCCGUGCCAGCAGCCGCGGUAAUACGGAGGAUCCGAGCGUUAUCCGGAUUUAUUGGGUUUAAAGGGUGCGUAGGCGGCCUUUUAAGUCAGCGGUGAAAGUCUGUGGCUCAACCAUAGAAUUGCCGUUGAAACUGGGGGGCUUGAGUAUGUUUGAGGCAGGCGGAAUGCGUGGUGUAGCGGUGAAAUGCAUAGAUAUCACGCAGAACCCCGAUUGCGAAGGCAGCCUGCCAAGCCAUUACUGACGCUGAUGCACGAAAGCGUGGGGAUCAAACAGGAUUAGAUACCCUGGUAGUCCACGCAGUAAACGAUGAUCACUAGCUGUUUGCGAUACACUGUAAGCGGCACAGCGAAAGCGUUAAGUGAUCCACCUGGGGAGUACGCCGGCAACGGUGAAACUCAAAGGAAUUGACGGGGGCCCGCACAAGCGGAGGAACAUGUGGUUUAAUUCGAUGAUACGCGAGGAACCUUACCCGGGCUUAAAUUGCAGAUGAAUUACGGUGAAAGCCGUAAGCCGCAAGGCAUCUGUGAAGGUGCUGCAUGGUUGUCGUCAGCUCGUGCCGUGAGGUGUCGGCUUAAGUGCCAUAACGAGCGCAACCCUUGCCACUAGUUACUAACAGGUAAAGCUGAGGACUCUGGUGGGACUGCCAGCGUAAGCUGCGAGGAAGGCGGGGAUGACGUCAAAUCAGCACGGCCCUUACAUCCGGGGCGACACACGUGUUACAAUGGCGUGGACAAAGGGAAGCCACCUGGCGACAGGGAGCGAAUCCCCAAACCACGUCUCAGUUCGGAUCGGAGUCUGCAACCCGACUCCGUGAAGCUGGAUUCGCUAGUAAUCGCGCAUCAGCCAUGGCGCGGUGAAUACGUUCCCGGGCCUUGUACACACCGCCCGUCAAGCCAUGGGAGCCGGGGGUACCUGAAGUGCGUAACCGCGAGGAGCGCCCUAGGGUAAAACUGGUGACUGGGGCUAAGUCGUAACAAGGUAGCCGUACCGGAAGGUGCGGCUG
rnacentral:rRNA from 1 species